UGUGUGUGUGUGUGUGUGUAUGUGUGUGUGUGUACAAAUACAUGUCAGUGUGGCACAGAUAGUGACUUAACUCUGGCUAAAGAAUGAAUUCAAUGCAACUUUUUC